rnacentral:rRNA from 1 species
AGGAUGCGAGCGUUAUCCGGAUUUAUUGGGUUUAAAGGGUGCGUAGACGGUUGUGCAAGUCUGGAGUGAAAGGCGGGGGCCCAACCCCCGGACUGCUCUGGAAACUGUGUAACUGGAGUGCAGGAGAGGCAGGCGGAAUUCCUGGUGUAGCGGUGAAAUGCGUAGAUAUCAGGAGGAACACCGGUGGCGAAGGCGGCCUGCUGGACUGUAACUGACGUUGAGGCUCGAAAGCGUGGGGAGCAA